rnacentral:rRNA from 1 species
UUGAGCGCUGGCGGCAUGCCUUACACAUGCAAGUCGAACGGUAACGGGCCUUCGGGUGCCGACGAGUGGCGAACGGGUGAGUAAUACAUCGGAACGUGCCCGAUCGUGGGGGAUAACGAGGCGAAAGCUUUGCUAAUACCGCAUACGAUCUACGGAUGAAAGCAGGGGACCGCAAGGCCUUGCGCGGACGGAGCGGCCGAUGGCAGAUUAGGUAGUUGGUGGGAUAAAAGCUUACCAAGCCGACGAUCUGUAGCUGGUCUGAGAGGAUGAUCAGCCACACUGGGACUGAGACACGGCCCAGACUCCUACGGGAGGCAGCAGUGGGGAAUUUUGGACAAUGGGCGCAAGCCUGAUCCAGCCAUGCCGCGUGCAGGAUGAAGGCCUUCGGGUUGUAAACUGCUUUUGUACGGAACGAAAAGCCUUCUUUUAAUACAGGAGGGUCAUGACGGUACCGUAAGAAUAAGCACCGGCUAACUACGUG